GUGUAGGGUGAUCCACUAAGAGGUGGUUCAAAAGAUAAGAAAAAUUUCUAAGCAGGGUCGGGCCUGGUUAGUACUUGGAUGGGAGACCGCCUGGGAAUACUGGGUGCUGUAGGGU
rnacentral:rRNA from 1 species